AACGAACGCUGGCGGCAUGCCUAACACAUGCAAGUCGAACGAGACCUUCGGGUCUAGUGGCGCACGGGUGCGUAACGCGUGGGAUCCUGCCCUUAGGUUCGGAAUAACUCCCCGAAAGGGGUGCUAAUACCGGAUAAUGUCUUCGGACCAAAGAUUUAUCGCCUUUGGAUGGGCCCGCGUUGGAUUAGCUAGUUGGUAGGGUAAAAGCCUACCAAGGCGACGAUCCAUAGCUGGUCUGAGAGGAUGAUCAGCCACACUGGGACUGAGACACGGCCCAGACUCCUACGGGAGGCAGCAGUGGGGAAUAUUGGACAAUGGGCGAAAGCCUGAUCCAGCAAUGCCGCGUGAGUGAUGAAGGCCAUAGGGUUGUAAAGCUCUUUUACCCGGGAUGAUAAUGACAGUACCGGGAGAAUAAGCUCCGGCUAACUCCGUG
rnacentral:rRNA from 1 species